UUUUUUCUUACGAAUUAUAUAUCGAAUUACUAAUGGAUGUCAUAAAUAGAAAUUACUUAUGAGCGUGAAAAAUGUAUGAAAUGAUUGGCUGUUGUAAACAGCCAAUAAAGUUCAAAGAAGUCAUGUCGUCGCAGUGUACCGUUCCGAUUUAACGCGCAUACUUUUCUGUCGUUCGAGGUAGCUCGCAUGCUAGCGUUCUUCAGAUAAGCACAUUCUUAUCUGCGUACAUUACUUACGUAAGCAACAACUCGUGUAAGUCUUUGCUCGGCUUCGCCCCUUUUUCCUCUUCCGUUCUCUCCCGAUGUUUGCAAUUUUUUUCUCCUACAUUUCCUUCGUGUUUUGUUUCUUCCUGUCUCGUUCUCGGUAUUUCAACUCUUAUGUAUUUACGCACUUUAGAAUAUUAUUUUAUUUUAUUUUAUUUUACUUGAUAUAGUCCUUUUUUCAAUAAAUUCCGCUUUUUCUUUUUGAUUGUAGAUGUAAAUUUAUAGAUUUGUUAAUUAAAUAAAGCAACGUUUCGAAAAAGGGAUACAGUUAAUUAUAGUAAUUAUGAUUUGUUUAUUAUAUAUUAAUGAUCGGGAUGGUCACGUGGAUUCGACGCGUGCAAGAAACAAUUGGAAGAUAUAAAUGAGAUAUUCUCACCGAAACGGUGAAUUACAAGUAUAAAUUGUAAUUUUAGAUAGAAUAAUUAACUAAACUAGAUAGGAUAGAAAUUAAUCAUUGCCGAUUCGAAGAAAUUUUAAAAUAAAUAUACAAUUAGCUUUAAUUGUAAUCAAAAAGUUAAAAAAUAUAAAUAUAUAUAUAUAUUAAAUUAUAUAUUAAAUUAUAUUAUUUUUGCAAAUAUAAAAAUGAAUAUAUUCACCGUUAGUAAUUUCUCAUUUUUAUUGUUAAUAAAAUAAUUAUCGAUUCGUAAUUAAUACAAUAAUAUUAAAAAUAAUAUUAAUAAUAAUAAUCAUAUUAAUUGAAAAGCAUGAAUUAGCAAAUAUAAUGAUCCAUAUAUAUAUGUAUAUAUACAUAUAUAUAUAAAAAUACAAAUUUAUGGAGAAAACUAAUAUUAUUCGAGCGAAACGAUAUGAUUUCAUUGAAUGGAACAACAUGUUAUCGAGAAUGACAUCAAUUGACCCGUUCUAAUUGCAAUAUUCUUCGCGUAAAAUGGUUGCGAAAGCCGGUAGGAUAUAACGUAUACGCGAGCAGAUGGUCGGAACUCGUCGCAUGAUCUCGGGUGUUAUCGGUUUAGAUUAGAAACGAACCAUACGCGCAAGUAGAAGUUGCAAGUUGAGGGACGACGUUCGCUGAUUUAUCAGCGGAACGCCGCUCGUACGAGGAAGCCGGAGUAAAUCGACGAAUGCACCUUGGGAUUCUUGUUACUUGCUUCGUUCCUUUGUUACACAACCGGCUCUCUCGCCAACUCGGCCAACUAUCGACCCCACCACCAACUUUGUUCUCGCUCUCUGCUCCCCUUUUCUUCCGUCAUCUCGUACUCUAUCCCUUUCUAUUUCUUUCUUUCUUCAUUUCUCUCUCUCUCUCUCUCUAUCUUUGUCUUACUCUUCGUCGAGCACUCCCUCUCUUCUCUCCCAUGCUCCCUUUAGUCGCUUUUAUUCCAACCCCAUCUCUCUAUUUCUUCUUUUCUUUUUUGACAACCUCCGCUCUUUCUGUUGCCUGUCCUUUCUCUUCGAGCUUAUUCCCCUGUGUCACCUACUCGUCGUCAGAGUUGGGCGUUAUUGGAAGAAACUCCCGUACGAGCAAUUAUCGAAAUAAAACUUCCAUCGUCGCGAUGGAUGCACGUACUCGAUGUUUUAUAUUUUUCGAUUAUUUAUACGAUUAAUCCUUUCGAUUUGAUAUUUUCCUACUCGAUUUUUAUUACUUUUUCUAUCAGAGAUAUGAAAAUAAAAUACGUAUAAAUUAAAUUUUAUUUAAAAAUUGAGACGUUCCCGUAGUUCUUUCGAAUGAAACAUAUGUAUGUAUCUAUCUAAAAUUAAGUAGGUAUUGAAUACUUUCGGUCUUCUGUCAGUGUGUUAUUGUCUACUUAUAUAUAUUUAUUUUCAUUAUAAAUAUAUUUAUAUAUAUUAAAAUGUUCUAAUAAAUAUAGAUUUGUUCAAAUGGAAAAAAAACAAUAAUAUGAAAAUUUUUUUUUAAUACAAAAAAUAUAAAAGAAUAUAAAAAUUUUAAAGAAUCGUUUAAAAUAUAUCAGUCGUUUAAUUUAGCAAUUAUAUAUAUACUUAUUUGUUUAAAUUAAAGGAUUAUCUAGAUCGUUAAAUCACGGCUAAGUCACAGUUAUCAAUCAAGAGGUAUCUAAUAGUAGUAUAAGUAUUUAUAAUCAGAUUAUAAAACUACAAAAUCUAAGAUAUUCAUUGAGAUAUAUCCUAUCAGAAUUGAAAAAGUUAAAUAACGUAAAUAUAAGGACAAAUAUUAGUAUUUUUAGCUAUAAUAGUGGGUUAUUUUUGAUCCAAUCGAUUUAAUAAUCGAUGAUAAUAUUAAUCAGAUAACAAAUAAUAUAUCAGAAUAUCAAUGUUCUGAUCGAUGAGACAUUGGUUCAUUUUUUAAAAAAAAUAUAUUUUUGAAUAAUUUAUUGUGAUAAACGAUUUAAAAUAAUUAUCGAACGAGUAAUUAUAUAGAACAUAGAUCAUAUUAAUGAAAAAAUUUUUAUGAUUUGAUGAAUAAAAAAAAAAUCAAAAUUAAAAAAAAUGUUUUUUAAAAUAUCACAAUUCACGAUUCUUGUACAAGUGAUGCAAAUUUUGUCAAGAAUAUGUUCUACAGUCAAACAGAAAUACCGAGAGGUACGAAAGAUUCGAUUAUUUGAUUAUUUGAAAUACUCGUUAUCUUGGUUAGCAUGUAUUUGUUAUGUGGUUGGACAGUGACAUGAAAUACGACAUUUUUGUGUCAUGUUGCGCCAUUAUGAUGAUAAGUGGAAGAUUCCAAAACUAACGAAUGGAGAUCCAUUUAUCUUUGUAUAAUUCCUAUAAUCGAAAUUCAUAAUAGAAUACAAAGACGUCUGAAAAUUUCGAAAUAAUAUAACAAUUUGUCCACUUAUCAAUUAUCAUUUUAUCAAUUAUCAUAUAAAUCGAAUAAACCGAUGAAAAUUUACAAAACACGAAUCUUCGUUCGAAAUAUAAAAAUAUAUCUAUAGAUAUACUUUUCAAUGUAAUUACUUAUAUAUUAUCGACACGGUUAAUACAAUAUAAUUUCACAAAAAUUAAAAAUUCCUUUAGAGAAAUUGUCAUAAAAAAAAAAAAAUUCAUAUAUCUAAAACUUUCUGUUCUUCAUUCGCCUUAAGAAAUUCCAUCUUUUACACGAGCCGUUUCAGCUUCCUCUGCGAACCCUCUGCAUCUUCCGCGUCUCUACCCUCGCUAUCUAUUUCCGUCCUUCUCUAUCGGUUUUCUCCUUCGCGCUUUCGUCAAGUUACCACCCAUUCUUUCCGAAUUCUCCUCGCCACUCGCAACGUGCCUCCCUCCCCUUAGUCCUUCUCCUUCCUACCCGUAUUUAUACUACAUCCGUCUUCUUUCUUUUUCGUGAGCGUUCGACGGAUCCAAGGGGAAAGUGGUGGGGGGCCACGUGCUCCCAGUACCUAGUCACGCGAGGAUAGAACACGUGGUACAGUACUUAUACUUACUUACGUAUGUCCGUUGGGAUGCAUAGGCGUGGAAACGUGUUUUCCCUCGAUGCCGCAUAGCCGCAUGUUGUUGGCUAGGUUAUAUAGGAUUUUACGCGGAAAUUAAUGCAGUCGUAGCGUGGCAGAACAUCUUAAAGUUCAAAUGUCGCAAUGCGAAAAAAAGGAAAACGGGGAGAAGAUACAGCGUCGAGAUAUACGAAUAUUGUUUCUGAUGUUAUGAUAAAUUACAAUUAAUAAAUUGAAUAUUUUCACGAGUAUCUAAACAAAUGAAUUAAAUGAAAAAUGAAUUUUUAUAUAAUUAAAGUUAGAUUUUUUUGAUGCAUAAGAAUAAAUUUUGAAUAUAAUCGUUUAAUAAAAUCGUUUUAAUUUAAAGUAGAGAAAAUUUGUUAUAAAUCAAAAAUGACCCGGUAUCAGCUAAUUUGUUUUGUAACAGAAAUGAGAGAAAUUUUGGGAUGAUUUAAAAGUGACGCAACAUCCACUGUCCAUGCAAUAGUUUUACCGUACAUUAUAACGAUUAAAAAAUUUUAAUUUUUAAUUAAAAACAGUUAAUGUUUCGAAACAUUUACAUAGUAAAUGUAAGCCCAAUCCCAAUAUAGAUAAAUAUAUUGAUAUAGAUUUCUGUACAAAUAUAUUUUAUAUGAAAUUGAUCAUUUCAUGCUUUCAAAAAAUAUAUCGCCUUUUAUCUUAUCGUACAUGCGUAAAUAUAAAAGCAAAUUUUGUAUUUUUAUUUGUGCGUACGAUAGAUUUAUAUGUACGUCAAAAGAAAAUACAUUUUGGUUCUUAUCACUUUCAUCAAUUUCCUGCUUCACCAUCAUAAAAUUUAAAACUUGAACACGUAUUUAUUUAUUUGAUCAAAGUAUCAAGUUUUACGUAAUUCAAAAUAAUAAUUGAUACAAUUAAGAGCUCGAAGUAAAAAAAAAAAACGAGAAAAUAAAUACGUAGAUGAAAUAGAUCGAAAAAAGGCUAUGAAAGAAAAGAGUAAAAAAAAAAAAGGAUGAUAAAACUAUAAUACUCGAUUGUUAAUCGAGUGAUUCGUUGUCGGUCGUGCAUAGCGGCUGGUUGGCCAGCUGCACUUGACUCUCCUAUGCAAGAUAAAUAGGUGCGGCUGGUUCCUAUUAAUAGCGGAUGGUUUACGUGGCGAUUGCAGUGUACGAGCUUAGUGUAACUUGCCAGCGGUUCACAUAGCGUCGAGAAUUGUUCGUGUCGUAAAUUACAUUUAGUUACGUAACGACAUUGGUGCAUAGAAACAUAAAAAAGACAUCGAAAAUAUUCAGUAUUAUAGUUAACGAUAUUCAAAAGAAAAUCACGAAAAUAUCGUUCAAAUGUUGUGAUAGAGAUUUCGAAACCAUAAUUUAUGAUGAUGGUUAUGAUUGGAAAAUCCACUAAAAUCUUAUUAAAAUUUUAAAAACUAAUAUAUCCAAUAAAUCUAAUACACUCUCUGUUAUUGAGAAUCGACAAAGAAAAUUGAUAAGUUUUGGCGUAUAUUAUUCCUUCUAUUUUUGCGAUUAAAUAAUACUAAGAAUGUUAUUUGUGUACUAAGAUCGAGAAAAAAAUAAAAAGAUAAUAAACUUAGUUAUAUUUGACUCUAUAUUCAUAACCUCUUGCCAAUCUCUCAUCACAUUCUCUGCAUGACACUUACAAUACGCAUGAAUAUAUAUAUAUGAUACAUACCAUCAUAAAAUUCUACAACAUAGAAUAGAAAAUAAAAAAUGAAUGAAUUAAAAAAAAAAAAGAAAGAGAUCGAGUAAUUCCUCGAAAUCUUUAAUCGAUAUACAUGUGUUCAUACACGUGUUCUAUUAGUUUAAGCUAGAACUAGACAAAGUCCAAAGCGCCCUCUCUAUCCCUCACUUCACUCCUAUAUCGCUUGUACUGGACUGUGGUAUGUGCGAAAUACUUUCGGUACGUAUUCACGUAAAAUUCAUACGCGAAUAAAACUGAGUGGGCGCAAAGAACGAUUAAAAAGAAGGCACAAAUACGUGAUAAAAUACGGUUCAUCGAUAAAUCGAUAUAUGAAAUAUAUUUGUUCCACUAGUUAAGCUAGAGCUAGGCAAAGUGUAGGAGGGGAGGAGAGGGACAAAAGAGGAAAGGAGGGGAUCAAACAAAAUCUGGUAUAGGCCGGGCAACGACCUUUAGGCACGUGGCACGAGACACGUGCUGCAUUCGACAAACUGUCGAACGGCCUUUUGCUUCUUUUAUCUGUGCUCGCUUCUGUUUUCACCUCGUCCCGCUUAAAAUUUUCGUUUCGGUCCGCGUUAUCUCUCACCGCGUCGCAAUUUUCUUUUAUCGACUGUACCAUAAAUACGAAACAGGGACUGAUCCGAGAAACUGACGUUUCGCUAUUUAUGGCUCUGUCGGUAUAUCGAAGAAAAAGGGUGAUUUUUGUGGCUGAAAUCUGUAAAUAAUCAACUUUGACAAUCUAUCAGUCUCUUUUUGAAGGAAGAAAAAAUUUUUGCAAAUUUUUUCUGUUUUUCUUAUAAUAAGAAUACACGUUUGCUGAAUCAUAUCGAGAACAAAAAUAAGUAAAAGAAAAUGAAAAAUUUUUUUACGUUAAAAUAAAGACAAUCUGUUUGAUCAGAUGUAUCGAUAGUAAGAUUCUUUCGAGUUGAAAAGCAUGAGUAAACAUGGAGCUCGAUCAUGGCAGUGUGUCAGAAAUGUUCAUUCAUAUCUUAGUUACAGGUAUUCAAAAAUUUAAACGGUGAUUCUUUUAGUCAAAAGAACGAAGAUGAAGAAUAAUUUUUAUUAUUGACAAAUAAAAAUGGAAUAAAAUAUCCUUAAAUGCUCAAAUACUGAUUUUUAAGUAUCGUAGUCUUUUUUUUUUUGCAAUUUUUCUAUGUCGUGUUUUUGUCCAUAUAUUGUUGAAUUUAGAAAUUAUUGUAAUCUCUAUUAAUCAAACCACAUUCAUUCAGGUAAGAAUGUUUUAACAUUUAAACUUUUAAUUAUCAAUAACUAAAAAAUUAAGUCGAAAUUUUUAUUUUUGAUUUUUGUCUUAUUUGGAUUUGAAAAAUUACCAUGAAAAAGUGUAGUUAAUGAUUGAAUGUUAUUUUUAAUGAGAUUAUUUUUAUUUUUAACGAAUAAUUUUCUGAUCAUUUAUGUGAUUUAUUUAUUUUUCCUUUUAUAUUUUUAUACUGUUAUAUAUUCGUUUUGUAAAAUUGGUUAUUUUUUUACUACUUUAAUCGAAAGUCAGUUUAAAUAAUACAAAUAUUAUCGUUUAAAGAGCAAUAAAAUAUGUAUAUAAUAUAUAAUAAAUUGAAGACUAUGAAACUAGAGUCGUCAGAUUAUCAUAUCGUUAUCUUUAUUUAUCCAUGGAUUAUAUGAGCGUGGAAGAUAAUAGUUCAUUUUCCAAUCUCGUGAUACUAUAAAAGAUUUGAUAUAGUCGAUCAUAAGUAUUAUAUAAUUAUAUCUACUUGUAUCUGAAAAAAAAUAAUUGAUUUUAUAUGUAUUUUUAUUUAUUUUCAAUGAUUUCUUAUAAAAUUAUAAAAUAAUUUUAAAUAAAUAUAACCAAAAUCCUAAAAUUGUGAAAUUAAUAUUGAAUUAUGAAUUCAAAAAAGAUAAAAUAAAAUAGAUUGAUUUUAAUUUUUCUCUUAUUAUUUUUUCAUACAAAGCUAAAGAUGGCUAUCUAAAUAUGAUAUUUUUUAUAUUUGAUAUAAUGAUAUAUACAAAAUAUUUCUGACAUAAUUUAGAUAAUAAAAAUAAUUUUAAAGAGGAAAUAUUGUGAAAAAUAAUUUUUAUGUUAUAUGUUUUUAUGUUAUAUGUGGAUGAAAAAAAUUUAUUUAUUUAUUAUCAUAAAUGACAUAUUCGUUUGAAAAUUUUUCAAAUAAUAUGAAUUCUUUUAAUAAUUUGAAUAAUAUGGAAUAAUUUUUUUUUAAUCUAUAGAUCACGAUUCUUAAAAGGAUUUCAAAGUGAUUUUUAGAGAAAUUAUUUUUACUUGUUAUUAUCUAAAAAAAUGUUUAAUAUUUAUUUAUUAAAUCUUAUCAUGCACAAAUAAAGUAAAGUAAAAUAUUAAUCUAUCAUGGCAAAAUUGUGAUCAUAUUUUAUUUAAUAUUAAACAUUUUAUAUUUGUUAUAAAAUAUAGAUUUUUCUUCACUAAACCUUUAAUCUCCAAAAAUAAAUAUUAUAUUAUCUUUACGCUAUUAAAAAUGCAUUUUUAUCAGAAAAUGUUAUCAGAAAAAAGGGGAUCAAGAUUAAAAAAAAGAGUUAUAAAAUAUUAGUUUUUAUACUGCAUAGUUUUCAUAAAAAAAAAGGAAUAGCUUAUAAAAUAAUGCCUUAAAAAAUAUUGAGAAGCACUGAUGUAAAAAAAGAAAAGAAUAAAAUUCAUAAUUGAAUAACAAUGAUUUGAUGAAAAACGAGAAACUGCGUUUGUGAAAUACAAGACGUUUUCAAUAAUUAAUAUUUACUGCAUUGCAGUAAUAGAUGAGCAAAGAUAUUCAUAUAUUAGUAUCUAAGCAAUAAUGUUAAAAGAUUUUUACAUAGGAAUGUAAAAAUAUUUAUACUGCAAUUGACUAUUGCGUUCUUUUUACGUCGUAAAAAUAUAAUUUUUUCUUAUUAUAUGUGAUAUUAGUAUAAAUAUAAAGUGAUUCAUUAAAUGAAUUUAACAAUUUACAUUUAUAAAAUACAAAAUCAAUUAAUUAACAAUUCCGUAUAGAUAAAUCGAAGUAUUUAACAGAAUUGUAUGAUGCUUAUUUGCCAAUAAUGCAUUAUUUGAUUAAUUUAAUUUAAAUUCUUGAUUAUUUUAUUUUAUAAAUGUUAAAAGUGGUUUAUAACACAAAUAUCCAUUGUAUAUUUUUAAUAUUUUUAAGAAUAAUUGAUUUAAAGAUUUAAUGAUAGAUUUAUAAUUUCAUCAAUAUACUUUACUUGUUAUAUUUAUUAUGCAAUGUAAUUAUAAUAAAAUAAAAUAGUUAAAAAAAAAAGAAAUUAAAAA